rnacentral:rRNA from 1 species
GACGAACGCUAGCGGGAUGCCUUACACAUGCAAGUCGAACGGAGUGGCGAACGGGUGAGUAAUGUAUCGGAACGUGCCCAGUAGCGGGGGAUAACUACGCGAACGCGUAGCUAAUACCGCAUACUAUUGGAGCGGCCGCUAUCGGAUUAGCUCGUUGGUGGGGGAACGGGUCACCAAGGCGAGGAACCGUAGCUGGUUUGAGAGGACGACCAGCCACACGUGGACUGAGACACGGCCCAGACUCCUACGGUAGGCAGCAGGUGGGAAUUUUGGACAAUGGGGGAAACCCUGAUCCAGCCAGCCCGCGUGUGCGAUGAAGGCCUUCGGGUUGUAAAGCACUUUUGGCAGGAAAGCGGUACCUGCAGAAUAAGCACCGGCUAACUACGUGCCAGCCGCCGCGGUAAUAC